rnacentral:misc_RNA from 1 species
GAUGAAGAACGUAGCGAAAUGCGAUAAGUAAUGUGAAUUGCAGAAUUCAGUGAAUCAUCGAAUCUUUGAACGCACAUUGCGCCCCCUGGUAUUCCGGGGGGCAUGCCUGUUCGAGCGUCAUUACAACCCUCAAGCUCUGCUUGGUAUUGGGCCCCGCCAGUUCUGGCGGGCCCUAAAGUCAGUGGCGGUGCUUUCCGGCUCCGAGCGUAGUAAUUCUUCUCGCUCUGGAGACCCGGUUGUGUGCUUGCCAACAACCCCCAAUUUUUUAAGGUUGACCUCGGAUCAGGUAGGGAUACCCGCUGAACUUAAGCAUAUCAAUAAGCGGAGGA